AAAGCCAAACGGGACGCACGGCGUCGUUUUGCCGCUUAUAAGUUGAUUUGGGAGCUCGUCGACCAGCGUCCUGCACUUCUUCUGCAGCAACAGACCGUCAGCUCAACUAGUCUCUGGCAGUCAAGUACGGGACUGAAUGUACUUUCUGCAUAUGGGCGUCAAUUGCAGCCGUAAAAACACAUUCUUUUCCAACCUUUAAAAAGGACGUCCAGUCACGAAUACCCCAGUUGCAGUAUAAUGGGGGGUUGCAGCAGAGCAGUAUGCAUUGCAUACUUUCUCUAUUAAAGCAUGUUUCAAGAAAGAACGACUGGGGUAGGAGGGUUUAAACACAGGAGCCCGCCCAGAAAGGCUCACCGUACCACCCACUUGACACAGGAAAAGAGAGGGAGUCGGGCAUCAGCAGACUGGAAGGCAGAGUCUGGUUCCGGGGUUCCCAACGUGGGGUCCGGGGGCUGGGAAGUUCCCCGCGGAAGGCAGGAAAAGGUUCCGUUUGCUUCAGUAGAGUUGAUGUCUACGUAGACAGAGACACGGAUGAAGAUAUUGGGCUGUCCAGGGUGUCCG